CGGGGACGUCGAAGGAGAAGGAUCUAUUGACAGGUUACUUUUAUUAGGAUGCUGGUACUGGUACGAUGCCAUGCUGCGUGCCAUCUUGGUUUCAGUUAACAAUUCAUUAACGGUAGAUGGUGUACUAAUUUGAACUGAUUAUUAGAGUCAGUGCACCACUGAAGAGGAUAUCUUGAGUGAUGCUCCAAAGGGUAGAAAUUUUUCACAAAAUUCAUCGAGCUGACUCAAUUUCCCGACAUGGUUUCCUUGAUGACGUCCCCAAGGAACCUUUCCGAGUAGCAGCCUCUUCUUCAAGGUCUCCAAGGUAUUCAACCUGUUGUUUUUCUACGAUCGGUGAGUCGCAUGCUUUAUAAUUCCUCCGGUGCUCGAUCAUGUCGUAGGACGAAAGGUCCGAAUCGGCACGAGUGACUGGUUGUAUACGUAGUUUGGCGAGUAUAGUGACCAUGGGUAUAAUAAUUAUUAUACUCAUGAGUAGUAACUUACUGUGUUUUAUUUCUUAGUUCAGGCGAGGUCUUCUUGUAUCUCGCGUUUAAUAAUAAGUUAUAAAAAUUAAUUUAUCACAAUUUUUCAUUAAAACUUAGAAUAGAAGUAAAUUAUUUUACUAUUUAAAUGACUGUUUUUCAUCUUUGACUUUAUCUUUGCAAAUGAUUGCAAUUAUACAUGUUAAUUAGGUUUGAUGUUAACUUACAUUAAUUACUGAUUUAAUGAUCUUUUUUAUACUGCAUACCUCUAUGCAAUUAGAGAAUUUUGCAUAACUGCAGAUACAUAUCAGAACAUAAAUUCAGUUAGUAUUAAAAUGUUAUUUAUUCACUUGAUCGUGAAUAUUGAUAUUUUAUGUGCAAGAAGACAAUUAUUCGCGACGAGUAGAUUUCCAAGUCAGAGUGAAACGCUUGAACACCUUUUAUGUAUUCUUGAAUUACACUGACAAGGAGGUCGCUCGAGGAUGUUUAAUAAUUUUCUAAUUUUCAAAAUAACUUCAAUUUUUGCUUACUUUUUUAAUUAUGUAAAGUCUCUGCAUUUCUUUAAUUAAUUAAAGUCUUUGCUUCUUUUAAAUAAAUUAAAGUCUUGUUUAUCAGUUUAAUGAUACAAAAUCGAGUCGUUUUCCUUGAUUAAACACUUUUUUCUUAUUUUUAAAUAAAUUAAAUUCUUGUUUUAAAUUUCAAAGUAGAGUCAUUCUUCAUUGAAUCCACUAACCUGUUAGAUAUUUCUGUAUUAAUCAUUCUAUUUUUAGCUCAGGAUUUUCAGGUUUAACCCCUUCCGUGUGCAUUACUGAAGCCCAUUCACGUGCUCAGGUGCUACUUGAAUGGGUGGAGGUGAGGUGCACGAUGACGUAGUUCAUAAGAAUCAUAAUUAAUAUGCGGCUGGCACUGUGUUGGUGUAUCGUGCACGACGUAUUUUCCACAUAAGUGUAUGUGUGUGUGUGUGUGGUUAGGAUGUGAAAUUGCGUCGGUUUAGAAACCUUUUCACUUAAUUUUAUAAUUAGAAUAAUAUCUUAUUUAGAUAUUACUAUUACUAUUUCUAUCACUAUAACUAGCAGUAUUACUAUAACUAUCUUUAUUACUACUAAAUAAUUAAUAUUCUCAAUAUUUAUAAAUAAACUCAAUUAAAAUCAUACGCAAUGAUCGCUAGCCUUGCCAGUCGAUUACAGGAAAACGGUACGUACGCUUAGAUUGUGAUGUGGAAUGAAACUCGAGUGACGGAGGCGUCCCGGGACGUUCUCCCUAGUAUGGGACCUUGCACUCGGGUGGAGUGUAUAAGAAUCAUGGAAUGAAUUUUUGUGAGAAUGAGACUUUGCCAUUUUUUAAAUAUAGGGUUAGGUAGGUAGGUAGUAUACCUUCUGGUGUGUGUGAUAGAUUGUAAGUAGGUAGGGCCGGGGCAGGUUGUCACAGUCUCUUGGUCGGGUAGGCGCGAUUUCGCGUGAUCAGCCUGUACCUGGAAUAUAUUUGAAGAAUUGACGAUACAAUCGAUACAAACGGAGUACGCCGUUCGCCUUCGAUUAUAUCUGUACAAUUUUUCAAAUUUUUGGCGACUUCAUAAGUCGUCAUACGCGAUCGCGAUGGCACGAAACGCA